GACGAACGCUGGCGGCGUGCUUAACACAUGCCAGUCGAACGGAAAGGCCCUGCUUUUGUGGGGUGCUCGAGUGGCGAAAGGGUGAGUAACACGUGAGUAACCUGCCCUUGACUUUGGGAUAACUUCAGGAAACUGGGGCUAAUACCGGAUAGGAGCUCCGGCUGCAGGGUGGGGGUUGGAAAGUUUCGGUGGUUGGGGACAGACUCGCGGCUUAUCAGCUUGUUGGUGGGGUAGUGGCUUACCAAGGCUUUGACGGGUAGCGGGCCUGGGAGGGUGACCGGCCACAUUGGGACUGAAAUAAGGCCCAGACUCCUACGGGAGGCAGCAGUGGGGAAUAUUGCACAAUGGGCGGAAGCCUGAUGCAGCAACGCCGCGUGCGGGAUGACGGCCUUCGGGCUGUAAACCGCUUUCGCCUGUGACGAAGCGUGAGUGACGGUAAUGGGUAAAGAAGCACCGGCUAACUACGUG
rnacentral:rRNA from 1 species